UACGAAGGGGGCUAGCGUUGUUCGGAAUUACUGGGCGUAAAGAGUUGCGUAGGUGGCAUAGUAAGCAAAUAGUGAAAGCGUGUGGCUCAACCAUACAUCCAUUAUUUGAACUGCUAAGCUUGAAGAUGAGAGAGGUAGAUGGAAUUCCUAAUGUAGGGGUAAUAUCCGUAGAUAUUAGGAGGAACACCGAUGGCGUAGGCAGUCUACUGGCUCAUUCUUGACACUAAGGCACGAAAGCGUGGGGAGCAAACAGG
rnacentral:rRNA from 1 species